rnacentral:rRNA from 1 species
GUUAGAGGUUCGAAGGCGAUCAGAUACCGCCCUAGUUCUAACCAUAAACGAUGCUGACUAGCGAUCCGCCGGCGUUAUUCCCAUGACCCGGCGGGCAGCUUCCGGGAAACCAAAGUCUUUGAGUUCCGGGGGAAGUAUGGUUGCAAAGCUGAAACUUAAAGGAAUUGACG